rnacentral:rRNA from 1 species
CAGCAGCCGCGGGAAUACGUAGGUGGCAAGCGUUGUCCGGAAUUAUUGGGCGUAAAGGGCUCGCAGGCGGUUUCUUAAGUCUGAUGUGAAAGCCCCCGGCUCAACCGGGGAGGGUCAUUGGAAACUGGGAAACUUGAGUGCAGAAGAGGAGAGUGGAAUUCCACGUGUAGCGGUGAAAUGCGUAGAGAUGUGGAGGAACACCAGUGGCGAAGGCGACUCUCUGGUCUGUAACUGACGCCGAGGAGCGAAAGCGUGGGGAGCAAACAGGAUUAGAUACCCCAGUAGUCCCUGUCUCUUAUAC